rnacentral:rRNA from 1 species
ACACAUGCAAGUCGAACGAAAAGAGGGAAAGAGCUUGCUCUUUCCGGAAUUGAGUGGCAAACGGGUGAGUAACACGUAAACAACCUGCCUUCAGGAUGGGGACAACAGACGGAAACGACUGCUAAUACCGAAUAAGUUCCAAGAGCCGCAUGGCCCAUGGAAGAAAAGGUGGCCUCUACCUGUAAGCUAUCGCCUGAAGAGGGGUUUGCGUCUGAUUAGCUGGUUGGAGGGGUAACGGCCCACCAAGGCGACGAUCAGUAGCCGGUCUGAGAGGAUGAACGGCCACACUGGAACUGAGACACGGUCCAGACUCCUACGGGAGGCAGCAGUGGGGAAUCUUCCGCAAUGGGCGAAAGCCUGACGGAGCAACGCCGCGUGAGUGAUGGCGGCCUUCGGGUUGUAAAACUCUGUGAUCCGGGACGAAAAGGCAGAGUGCGAAGAACAAACUGCAUUGACGGUACCGGAAAAGCAAGCCACGGCUAACUACGUGCCAGCAGCCGCGGUAAUACGUAGGUGGCAAGCGUUGUCCGGAAUUAUUGGGCGUAAAGCGCGCGCAGGCGGCUUCCCAAGUCCCUCUUAAAAGUGCGGGGCUUAACCCCGUGAUGGGAAGGAAACUGGGAAGCUGGAGUAUCGGAGAGGAAAGUGGAAUUCCUAGUGUAGCGGUGAAAUGCGUAGAGAUUAGGAAGAACACCGGUGGCGAAGGCGACUUUCUGGACGAAAACUGACGCUGAGGCGCGAAAGCGUGGGG